UACGGAGGGUGCAAGCGUUAUCCGGAUUCACUGGGUUUAAAGGGUGCGUAGGCGGGCAGGUAAGUCCGUGGUGAAAUCUCUGAGCUUAACUCAGAAACUGCCAUGGAUACUAUUUGUCUUGAAUGUUGUGGAGGUAAGUGGAAUAUGUCAUGUAGCGGUGAAAUGCUUAGAUAUGACAUAGAACACCAAUUGCGAAGGCAGCUUACUACACAAAUAUUGACGCUGAGGCACGAAAGCGUGGGGAUCAAACAGG
rnacentral:rRNA from 1 species